rnacentral:rRNA from 1 species
CCGUUGUACACACCGCCCGUCACACCAUGGGAGUGGGUUUCACCAGAAGUAGGUAGUCUAACCGCAAGGAGGGCGCUUACCACGGUGGGAUUCAUGACUGGGUG